rnacentral:rRNA from 1 species
CGACUCUCGGCAACGGAUAUCUCGGCUCUCGCAUCGAUGAAGAACGUAGCGAAAUGCGAUACUUGGUGUGAAUUGCAGAAUCCCGUGAACCAUCGAGUCUUUGAACGCAAGUUGCGCCCGAAGCCAUCCGGAUGAGGGCACGUCUGCCUGGGCGUCACG